rnacentral:rRNA from 1 species
GAUGAACGCUGACAGCAUGCUUAACACAUCAGCAAUUGAUUGUUGGCGGACGGGUGCGUAACGCGUAAAGAACUUGCCUCACAGCUAGGGGCAACAUUUGGAAACGAAUGCUAAUACCUAAUCCUGUGAGAGAGCUUUGCGUCCCAUUAGCUAGUUGGAGAGGUAACGGCUCACCAAGGCGAUGAUGUGUAGCCGGCCUGUGAGGGUGAUCGGCCACAAGGGGACAGAGACACGGGCCUUACUCCUACGGGAGGCAGCAGUGGGGAAUAUUGGACAAUGGACCAAAGUCUGAUCAAGCAAUUCUGUGUGCACGAUGAAGUUUUCGGAAUGUAAAGGGCAUUCAGUUGGGAAGCGGUACCAACAGAAGAAGUGACGGCUAAAUACGUGCCAGCCGCCGCGGUAAUUC